CUCCUACGGGAGGCAGCAGUGGGGAAUCUUGCGCAAUGGACGAAAGUCUGACGCAGCGACGCCGCGUGGGUGAUGAAGGCCUCGGGUUGUAAAGCCCUGUGGGGAGGGACGAAUAAGUCGGAUCUAAUACAUCCGAUGAUGACGGUACCUCCUUAGCAAGCACCGGCUAACUCUGUGCCAGCAGCCGCGGUAAUUC
rnacentral:rRNA from 1 species